UACAGAGGGGGCAAGCGUUGUUCGGAAUUACUGGGCGUAAAGGGCGCGUAGGCGGCCUGUUAAGUCGAACGUGAAAUCCCCGGGCUCAACCCGGGAACUGCGUGUGAGACUGGCAGGCUCGAGGGCAGGAGAGGAACGCGGAAUUCCAGGUGUAGCGGUGAAAUGCGUAGAUAUCUGGAGGAACACCGGUGGCGAAGGCGGCGUUCUGGACUGUCUCUGACACUGAAGAACGAAAGCCAGGGGAGCAAACGGG
rnacentral:rRNA from 1 species